rnacentral:lncRNA from 1 species
GUUUUGAAUCAGAGGAUGGAAAAUGUAAUUGCAGAGAGAAGUCAAACAUCUUUAACCUUUAAAGGGGACAUGUCCUUCAUUUAUUCAGUGAGCACUUGCUGAGUGAGGCACUGGGAUUUGAUGAAGCCUGAGGGCCCUGCCCUCAAGGCACUCACAGUCUGCUGGAAAGGAUAAGAACAUGGAUGUGUAUAGGGAACUUGAAAAAGCUGUCCUGGAAUUUGGAGCUGAUUCAGCUAAAUGCCAUCACAUUUUGGGAACAGAAUGACGAAGGUCAACACAACAGAGCGAGUCUCUGCAGGAGGACUACCUGAAGGGAUGACUCGGAGCUGGAGGAAGGGCCAAGCCUGACUAAUGAGUCAAGGUGGCCAGAGCUGACUACCUGUAGAAAGGCAAGGUGUGUCCCAGCUGAGGCCAGAAGGGCCUUGGCCGGAGAAGCUGGCUCCCCUGGGAUAGGCCGGCGAGAGAAAGACGCCGAUGUUGGCUGCACAAGGACUGCAGUCACCAGAGAGUAGGUCCAAAGCAGGGCAGGGAAGGUUCUCCAAAUGCUGCCCCAGCUGUACAAACUGUCCCUCAACCCAUCCAAUUUCCAUGCUCACCUAGCAACACUCAUAUUUUUCUAAAAUAAUUUUUAUUACAAAACAGUACAUGCUUAUAAAAUAAAAAAUAAAAAAUGCAUAAAGUAGAAAAAAGGAAUAAAAAUCAUCCAUGCCUUCACCACUCAUGAUUACAUUUGGGAGUAUUUUAUUUCAGCCUUUUUCAUAUACUAAUAAUCAGAUGGUACCCAUUACUUUAACUGAUGUCUUUUAUCCAAGCACAUUUUCCCUUUAUAAACCCUUUGCAAUCACCAUAUUUUUGGAAUGUAUAACAGUCAUUGAGUAAAAUCCACCCAUCCAUCCAUCCGUCCAUUCAUCCAUCCAUCCAUCCACCCAUCCAUCCAUCCACCCAUCUGUCCAUCCAUCCAUCCAUCUAUGUCACUUCCCCUUCAUAGACUAUAUUCUACACAGAAAAUAAAAAUAUGUCAAUGGCUGUCCUCCAAGGGUUGGCUAUUUUGGCUGUUUCUAGGCUUUCACUAUUAUAAAUAAUCUUGCCAGAAAUAACUUGGUACAUAAAGCUUUUUCAAUAUUCAAAUUAUUUCCUUAGAAGACAGUCUUAGACGUGACAUUAUUAGAUCAAAGGGUUUGCAUAUAUUUAAGUCUCACGAUAAGGCCAGGAUGCUUUCCAAAUGUAUGGCAAUGAUGUACCCUACAGCAGGCGGCCUGUGAUCAAGCCCAUUUCUAUGCAUCCUUACAAGCAUUGAGUAGUCUAAUUUUAAAAUAGCUCUGCUAAUUUUCAAUGAUCAGUUGAAGGCAAUCAGUGGUAUCUUAAAUAGGAAAGGAUCCAUCCUGGGGUAUUAGGUCCUGGGACAGCUCUAUCCUUCAGUUUGAGUGGUUAUGCUGCUAUCUGGUUGAUUACUAGCCUGUUAUCAUUUUACUGUGUGUUAGCCAGGCCCCUGGGCAAGAGGAUGAUAUGCAGUUCCAGGGUCAGCUGUGCUGAGGCCCAGACCCAGACAUUUAAAGGCCAAAUAAUCCAGCCAGGCAUCACUUUGAUUUCUCUUAAUUGCAAUCCUUUCUGGAGAAACAGAUUUGAUAGAAGGAAGGAAGAAUAUGAAGGUGCCAGCCACUGGGGAGGGCCAUUGUCAACCACACAACAUCUAUUCUACUCCUGUCUUCUUCCCACUAGCAGAGCUGCAGUUUGUUUAGGCAAUUGCAUGGAUUCACUGAUCUCAGGGAAGGAAAGCCCCAACCCCAGUCCUAGGGGACGAAUCACGAUUGGACUAAAGCAAGCAUAAUAAUAUAAUCCCCGCUGGCCAUUCAUUGGUGACUGCGGUCUUGGCCAAAGCAGUGUCAGAAAAAAUUGGCUGUGUGGGACAGACUCAGCUGGCCUCCUGCCUGGGAUGCAAAUGGAAUGCCAGGGGUAUAGCAGCCACCUUGUGACUAUGUGUUGAUGAACGUUAGGACAAAAGCCAACACACUAAGAACGGCUGAACAGAAAAACAGAUAGAGCCUGUGUCCCUGAACAGCUGAUUCACUCCUCAACUGCCUCUUCUCAGACUUCUUGUUACGUAGAAAAAUAAACCUUAUAUUUGUUUGUACCACUUUGGUUGCCUUUUUGUUUACUUGCAUUUUAAUGGAUUCCUGGUAUUUGUCAGGACAGGUGAUGCUAGCUUCUAUAACAAACGCUUUCCAAUCUCAAUUGCUAAACACAGUAAAGUUUUAAGUCUCACACGCAUCACAGUCUGAGGAGGGUCCAGGCAAUGACUCAGGGAUCUAGGCGCCUUACAUCUUAUGACUUUAUCUUUUUCAACACAGGGUCUCUGGGGUUGCCAUGGACAACCAUGCACAUGAUUUUAUGGCCAAUCCUGUAAAUAGUAUGCAUCACUUCUGUUGACAUCUCUUUGGCCAAG